CAAUAUCUGGAUUCUUACAAUAAAUAGUGAUGUCAUUUUCGUGCCAUUGAAUUGUCACAUUUUCAGGAGGAUUUAUGAUGAAAGCUGAGAACAAAGAGAAAUGAUAAAAUGUUAUUUAUUAUUUCACUUGUAGGAGCAACUUAACAUGUUUGUGGUUAGAACUAAAAUAUACAGGGUUAUUAAAGAGAGAACUCAAGCUCAAUUCAAAC